GAUGAACGCUGGCGGCGUGCUUAACACAUGCAAGUCGAACGGAAAGGCUCCUGCUUGCAGGGGUACUCGAGUGGCGAACGGGUGAGUAACACGUGGGUGAUCUGCCCUGCACUUCGGGAUAAGCCUGGGAAACUGGGUCUAAUACCGGAUAGGACGAUGGUUUGGAUGCCAUUGUGGAAAGUUUUUUCGGUGUGGGAUGAGCUCGCGGCCUAUCAGCUUGUUGGUGGGGUAAUGGCCUACCAAGGCGUCGACGGGUAGCCGGCCUGAGAGGGUGUACGGCCACAUUGGGACUGAGAUACGGCCCAGACUCCUACGGGAGGCAGCAGUGGGGAAUAUUGCACAAUGGGCGCAAGCCUAAUGCAGCGACGCCGCGUGGGGGAUGACGGCCUUCGGGUUGUAAACUCCUUUCGCUAGGGACGAAGCGCAAGUGACGGUACCUGGAGAAGAAGCACCGGCUAACUACGUG
rnacentral:rRNA from 1 species